CUUUGGAGCUGCCAUUUAUCCUGUAGGAGAGGAGUCUGACAAACUAGCAGGGUGGUGGUUGAUGGGCAAGCCCCCUUGGAGCAGCACCCACCCAGCAGACAAAACAGAUUUGCACCCAGUAGAUUCCAGAUUAAGAGCUUUUUAGAGAGGACGUCGCAGCAGCUUGGUAAUCAUUCAUUUUCAAUAUGAGCCCAGGCAGGGAACCGCCACAUGCAGGAACUGGCAAUCUGGCAGGCAAAACAGCAAGUAGGCUCAAUCCUUUUUGGGCGCCUGCUCGGCCAGAGUAUUGGUGAAGGCGGGGCUGGAUCAACUCAGACUCCACCAGUACAAUGAGCAGAGCGAAGCUUCAGGUAGCAGUGUUAGCAGAGGAAGCAGCGUAUUCCAUUUCCAUUUGGAGAGUCCAGUGGUUUUUGUCCAGAUGGGAGUGAAAAGUUUGGUACCUUACAUGAUACAAGUGUGUUUUAUGUUGAUUCAAAUUAAACCAACCAAAAGACACAAUAAA